GCCUGGUUAGCUCAGGCGUUAGAGCAUCAGACUUUUAAUCUGAGGGUCAAGGGUUCGAGUCCCUUAUCGGGCG
rnacentral:tRNA from 1 species